rnacentral:lncRNA from 1 species
GGGAGAAGAGACCAUAAAAUAGGGGUGGCAAGCAAGGAAAAUAGGCAAUUUCAAGUCAAGAGUACUGGAGAACUUGCUGGACAAACUGCUGAGUGACGAACAAUGUAUAUUUGGUAUGGCUAGUUCAGUCGAUAUAGUGGACUAAACAGUCCAAAGGCGACAAGUACAUGAGUAUCAGACCGUCUAGUGAAUGGAGGAUCUUUAUAUAUGCCCUAUACCACUCGUAAUUUGGGUUAUGUGAGUACACUAAAGCUAUAGGCAGCUAGUGGAAGUGAAGACCACACCGCUUCCACCUUACAAGAGCUUAAUAAUCAUACCUAGGGUGGAGGCUGGACAGCAGCUGGAGCAAGGAGAGGCGGACAUUAGGGGAUGCAUGGAAGCAUUUCUUGUAGCUAUUCUUUUGCC